GCCGAAACACCUCAGUUAGGAGAGCGUUAGACUAUAGAUCGAAAGGUCCCUGGUUCGAUCCCGGAUUAUGGCA
rnacentral:tRNA from 1 species